AGCGAACGCUGGCGGCAGGCUUAACACAUGCAAGUCGAACGGGCGUAGCAAUACGUCAGUGGCAGACGGGUGAGUAACGCGUGGGAACGUACCUUUUGGUUCGGAACAACCCAGGGAAACUUGGGCUAAUACCGGAUAAGCCCUUACGGGGAAAGAUUUAUCGCCGAAAGAUCGGCCCGCGUCUGAUUAGCUAGUUGGUGAGGUAACGGCUCACCAAGGCGACGAUCAGUAGCUGGUCUGAGAGGAUGACCAGCCUCAUUGGGACUGAGACACGGCCCAAACUCCUACGGGAGGCAGCAGUGGGGAAGUAUUGGACAAUGGGCGCAAGCCUGAUCCAGCCAUGCCGCGUGAGUGAUGAAGGCCUUAGGGUUGUAAAGCUCUUUUAG
rnacentral:rRNA from 1 species